rnacentral:pre_miRNA from 1 species
GUACUUAGGGCCUGAUCAAAAGCCUAGUAAAGUUAGUGGAAGGUUUUCCAUUGACUUCAAAUGGCUUUAGAUCAGGCCCCUAGUGC